CUACGGAGGGAGCUAGCGUUGUUCGGAAUUACUGGGCGUAAAGCGCACGUAGGCGGACUGAUUAGUCAGAGGUGAAAUCCCAGGGCUCAACCCUGGAACUGCCUUUGAUACUGUCAAUCUAGAGACCGAGAGAGGUGAGUGGAAUUUCCAGUGUAGAGGUGAAAUUCGUAGAUAUUGGAAAGAACACCAGUGGCGAAGGCGGCUCACUGGCUCGGUACUGACGCUGAGGUGCGAAAGCGUGGGGAGCAAACAGGAUUAGAAACCCCAGUAGUCC
rnacentral:rRNA from 1 species